CGGAGGGUGCAAGCGUUAUCCGGAUUCACUGGGUUUAAAGGGAGCGCAGGCGGACUUGUAAGUCAGUGGUGAAAUACCUGAGCUUAACUCGGGAACUGCCAUUGAUACUAUAGGUCUUGAAUGUUGUUGAGGUUUGCGGAAUGGGUCAUGUAGCGGUGAAAUGCAUAGAUAUGACCCGGAACACCUAUUGCGAAGGCAGCAGGCUAAACAAAUAUUGACGCUGAGGCUCGAAAGCGUGGGGAUCAAACAGGAUUAGAUACCCUGGUAGUCCACGCCCUAAACGAUGAUUACUCGACAUACGCGAUACACUGUGUGUGUCUGAGCGAAAGCAUUAAGUAAUCCACCUGGGAAGUACGACCGCAAGGUUG
rnacentral:rRNA from 1 species